ACUCCUACGGGAGGCAGCAGUGGGGAAUAUUGCACAAUGGGCGGAAGCCUGAUGCAGCAACGCCGCGUGAGGGAUGACGGCCUUCGGGUUGUAAACCUCUUUUAGCAAGGAAGAAGCGAAAGUGACGGUACUUGCAGAAAAGCGCCGGCUAACUACGUGCCAGCAGCCGCGGUAAUACGUAGGGCGCAAGCGUUAUCCGGGAAUUAUUGGGCGUAAAGAGCUCGUAGGCGGUUUGUCGCGUCUGCUGUGAAAACCGGAGGCUCAACCUCCGGCCUGCAGUGGGUACGGGCAGACUAGAGUGCGGUAGGGGAGAUUGGAAUUCCUGGUGUAGCGGUGGAAUGCGCAGAUAUCAGGAGGAACACCGAUGGCGAAGGCAGAUCUCUGGGCCGUAACUGACGCUGAGGAGCGAAAGGGUGGGGAGCAAACAGGCUUAGAUACCCUGGUAGGCGUAAU
rnacentral:rRNA from 1 species